rnacentral:rRNA from 1 species
ACGAACGCUGGCGGCGUGCCUAAUACAUGCAAGUAGAACGCACAGUUUAUACCGUAGCUUGCUACACCAUAAACUGUGAGUUGCGAACGGGUGAGUAACGCGUAGGUAACCUGCCUGGUAGCGGGGGAUAACUAUUGGAAACGAUAGCUAAUACCGCAUAAUAUUGAUUAUUGCAUGAUAAUUGAUUGAAAGAUGCUAUUGCAUCACUACCAGAUGGACCUGCGUUGUAUUAGCUAGUAGGUGAGGUAACGGCUCACCUAGGCGACGAUACAUAGCCGACCUGAGAGGGUGAUCGGCCACACUGGGACUGAGACACGGCCCAGACUCCUACGGGAGGCAGCAGUAGGGAAUCUUCGGCAAUGGACGAAAGUCUGACCGAGCAACGCCGCGUGAGUGAAGAAGGUUUUCGGAUCGUAAAGCUCUGUUGUAAGAGAAGAACGGGUGUGAGAGUGGAAAGUUCACACUGUGACGGUAUCUUACCAGAAAGAGACGGCUAACUACGUG